ensembl:lncRNA
CUCAGGCUGAUUGGCAGAGCCUUGCGGUUUCUUCUGAAUCAUACUGUUGUUUCUGAUUCGAGAAUGGGAUGUGAGUGGACCAAGCUACCACUGCUGACUCAUGUGAGCUGAGCUGCUGAUAUCCUGACAAUGCAGACUGGAUUCAUCCCGAAGAACUAUUUCUAAUCAGACCUGGUGCAGAGUGAUGCAGUCAACUGGCUUCAUUCUUCUGCCACUGUGCUUUUCCCAUCAUGAUGGACUGUGUCUCCUGGAAGUCUAAGCCAACAUAAGCCCUUUCCUCUUUAAGUUGCUUUUGUCAGGGAUUUUUAUUGCAGGAACAGGAAAUGAAACUCAAGCAUUGCAUUGUCCCUGGAUGAAAAGCACAAGUUUCACUAAGGAGGAGGGCAGAGACGACUGGUGUCCUAGCUGUCCACCAAACAGUGACUGCAGAGAACACAUAUGAUCUCUGUUUUUGUACUGGAAGAUCAAACAAAAAGAAUGCAGCAGAGAAGCUCCUGCCCGGAAUGCAAAGAAAGCAUUUGCUGUCUUCUUACCCUCUGAAGAACUGGUACAGGGAAAGAUCUGCCAUCAGCCCUGGAGUUUACUUCUUUCUGUCAUUACAAAUUACAUAGCGAGUCAUCAACCAUAUAUUAAGCAUGAGGUAACUAGGCUCAGAAAGGAUAAGACAUUGGCUCUGUUCCUUGGCUUAAAAGCAUCAAGUCGGGUUGUGCACUCAACUUCAUGAAUCCAUAAACACAUGGUAUAACCAUCUUUCCACAAGCAACAGUCAUGGCUGAGGUCUGGUCAUCCUCUCUAGCUGCAGAAGGGGGAUGGGUAAUGGAGCUCAACGGAGCAGCAGAGGGCGCGUGGUGACUUGUUUCUUCAACAGGAAGCAGAACUCUGAGAAGACAGAGAAAUUAAAGCGUCCCCCGCACAGAGCAGAAGGCAGUGCAUGCCUGAGCCAGGAGCCACCUCUAGUCAGAGAUAAGUCAGAGAACGGACCACAGUCACGGAGAUGUUUCUGGGGAGAAAAGACAUGGCAGAAGUUGUUGCUUAGGGCACAGGAUGCCAUCCACACCUAAGGAGCUCCUACUGGCUGCACUGAUGUGGGAUUGUGUCCUAGUGAUUCUGACUUCAGCCUCCUAUUUCAGCUUCAUGAGCAGUGAAGGAGGAAUGGCAAAGGCAAACAAAUGCCCAGGAUUUCACAGUUGGUAUCUUUCCGGGGGUUUUUGGUUAGUUUUUUUGUUUGUUUGUUUUGUGCUUUGUGAUCGUUCUGAAAACUGAUGGGGACUUUCUUUCUUUCUUUACAUCUCCAAAUCCCAUGGCUGUCUGAUAAUGGAGAGGAGGGGAUGGCUGCUGGGCAGACUCCUGAGAUGCUUUCUCUUUUAGUUCAC